CUAGCCUCUACCCCUCCUCAGAUUCACACCACAGCAUCAUGAUACAGGGUUACGCAGCACACCAACAGUUAGCCGCUGGAUUCAAAGACGUUGCUAUGGAGACGGUUGAAGCAAGCUGGUCAUUCUCUUACAUUUGGAUAUACGAGCCCCUCAAAAAACAGGCCUCAAGGUGCAUGGAGACAAAGUUACACAUAGUAUGAUGUGAUGCAUCUGCUCCCACAAUUAUUUGGCACCGAUGGUCACCGUGGGCAGCGCUCCUUGAUACUGGCGGAGGUUGAUGAAGAACUCAUCCCACUUAUGUGGGGAUAUUUCCAUGAAAAAUACAAUGUAACCAGUCACUUUGAAGACGUUCUGAUGCUGGGGGACGGUGAAAUGAUUGGUGUGGGUUAAUACACCCAACAACCAAACUGAAGGUAUACCCUUGCAGUUUCGGCAUACUUGAGCUUGGACAUCAAAAUCGCAGUGAGAAAUAAAUAUAGUGGAUCCGCAAAAUCAAUCAGCCGGAAGUCCAUGACAGUAUUUAGCUGUUCUUCAGCAAAUACUGUGGCAAAACAGUUGGAAAAUGUAGGUGUACAUAUGGCUUGACACCCAUUUGUCUUAGCCACUCUUCAAAAUGGAUAAGACAAGAGAACAUGACAUUCAAGUAUUUGAUCUUUAACGGACAGGAACGGGUAGAGCAGAAUAGCUAUUUGCCUAAAACUGCCCAUAUCCACAUUCAGAGCAAUUAUUAAGUGAAACUGUGACAAACAAGGCUGGAUGUGGAUCAAAGUUUAUUCUGCUUAUGUUUGUGCUGUGUGCUUCUUUUAGCACCGUACUGCGGGUUUUGAAUGGUAUUAUUACAUACACAGUUUAGCAUUG